GGGUGGGGCUGACAGGGGGCGGGGCUGACAGGGGGCGGGGCUGACAGGGGGUGGGGCUGUCAGUAUUAUGUAGUACUAACGGCCCUGUGAGUAUGUAGCCGUAGUAACGGCCCUGUGAGUAUGUAGCCGUAGUAACGGCCCUGUGAGUAAUGUAGCCGUAGUAACGGCCCUGUGAGUAUG